rnacentral:misc_RNA from 1 species
AACGCACCUUGCGCUCUUGGGUAUUCCUAAGAGCAUGUCUGUUUGAGUGUUGUAAGUCUCACAAAACCCCCUUUCUUUUGAAAGAGUUUAGGGCUUUGGAUUUUUGACCGUACGUUGCUGCUUUGAAUGGCUCGGUUCAAACGAGGUAGCUGAAGCUAAUAAUUGUUCUAUGGCUUACCAUGAACUUGGCGUGAUAAUUAUUUCGCUAGGAACAAGUAAGCUUACAAUUGUUAAGCGGGCUCCUAAAACAUAACUUUAUACAAAUAACCUCAAAUCAGGCAGGACUACCCGCUGAACUUAA